AAGAAAUUGAUGCUGCAGGAGAGAGGGAAUAAUUGCCGAAGCAAAGAUCUUGAGGCCUGCUUCCACUGAGGGACUGGAGGCUCCUUGAGCAAAAUUAUCUACCUCUUCACCUUUGGAUCUUUCACAGUUCCCAGUUCGGUGUACUACAGAUUGUACUUGCUAAAUAAAAAAUCAUUGUCAUGGUUUACCUAAA
ensembl:lncRNA novel transcript